ensembl:rRNA 5S_rRNA 5S ribosomal RNA
GUCUCAGGCCGUAUCAGCCUGAAGGCGCCCGAUCUCGUCUGAUCUCGGAAGCUAAGCAGGGUCGCGCCUGGUUAGGAUCUUGGAUGGGAGACCACCUGGGAAUCCCGGGUGCUCGAGGCU